rnacentral:rRNA from 1 species
AAUCCAUAGGUUAAUGAGGCGAACCGGGGGAACUGAAACAUCUAAGUACCCCGAGGAAAAGAAAUCAACCGAGAUUCCCCCAGUAGCGGCGAGCGAACGGGGAGGAGCCCAGAGCCUGAAUCAGCAUGUGUGUUAGUGGAAGCGUCUGGAAAGGCGCGCGAUACAGGGUGACAGCCCCGUACACAAAAGCGCAUGUGCUGUGAGCUCGAUGAGUAGGGCGGGACACGUGGUAUCCUGUCUGAAUAUGGGGGGACCAUCCUCCAAGGCUAAAUACUCCUGACUGACCGAUAGUGAACCAGUACCGUGAGGGAAAGGCGAAAAGAACCCCGGCGAGGGGAGUGAAAAAGAACCUGAAACCGUGUACGUACAAGCAGUGGGAGCCCCACCACUAAGCCAGUGGUGAACUCCACAUCCGCAUCCUUUGCUGAGGAUACGGUUAACGGAGCGAAAGCGACGUUCAACCGCAAAACAAGCAGAGGGGGCUUAGUGGUGGGGUGACUGCGUACCUUUUGUAUAAUGGGUCAGCGACUUAUAUUCUGUAGCAAGGUUAACCGAAUAGGGGAGCCGGAGGGAAACCGAGUCUUAAUUGGGCGUUAAGUUGCAGGGUAUAGACCCGAAACCCGGUGAUCUAGCCAUGGGCAGGUUGAAGGUUGGGUAACACUAACUGGAGGACCGAACCGACUAAUGUUGAAAAAUUAGCGGAUGACCUGUGGCUGGGGGUGAAAG